UUGUAUUAUAUCGGACACAUUAAAAGGACAGCUCAGUGUUGUAUCAUAUCUGGACACAUUAAGAUGACAGCUCAGUGUUGUAUCAUAUCUGGACACAUUAAGAUGACAGCUCAGUGUUGUAUCAUAUCUGGACACAUUAAGAUGGCCUCAGUGUUGUAUCAUAUCUGGACACAUUAAGAUGCAGCUCAGUGUUGUAUCAUCUGGACACAUUAAGAUGACAGCUCAUGUUUUAUCAUAUCUGACACAUUAAGA
rnacentral:lncRNA from 1 species